rnacentral:rRNA from 1 species
GUAGUCUCGCACAGAUGCAUAUCAAUAAGCGGAGGAAAAGAAACUAACAAGGAUUCCCUUAGUAACGGCGAGUGAAGCGGGAAGAGCUCAAAUUUGAAAUCUUCAAGGUUUUACCUUGACGAAUUGUAGUUUAAAGAAGUGUUUUCUGUUGAAGUUUUGGUAAAAGUUCUUUGGAAUAGGACAUCAUAGAGGGUGAGAAUCCCGUAUUUGACCAUUAUUUUCAGCUGUGUGAUACACUUUCAAAGAGUCGGAUUGUUUGGGAAUGCAGUCCAAAAUGGGUGGUAAAUUUCAUCUAAAGCUAAAUAUUGGCGAGAGACCGAUAGCGAACAAGUACCGUGAGGGAAAGAUGAAAAGAACUUUGAAAAGAGAGUUAAAUAGUACGUGAAAUUGUCAAAAGGGAAGCGUUUGACACCAGUGUUGUUUUCUCGAAAAUCAAUUAAAAAGAGUUAGAUUUUGUUGUGUAUUGACCUUAACAGCUUGCAUUUCAAUUUUCUUGCUUUUUUUAAUGCACUUUUCGUUUAACAAGUCAACAUCAGUUUCUUUUGUUGUAAAAAGGUCAUUGGAAGGUGGCUUUCUUUUCGGAGAAAGUGUUUAUAGCCUUUGACUCCUGCAAUCGGAGAGACUGAGGUCUGCAGCGUAGAUCCUUCGGGGUUAGAUACAUUUGUGCUAAGUUAUAGCUUUUUAUAGACAACUUGUUGACUAUGAUUAGUCUUGUAGCUUACUCGCUUAUGCUAUUUUACCUACGCUUAGGAUGUUGAAGAUGUAGCACAUCAU